UACGUACCGUACGAACGUUAUUCGGAAUUACUGGGCUUAAAGGGUGCGUAGGCGGUGCAGUAAGUUGGGUGUGAAAUCCCCCGGCUCAACCGGGGAAUGGCGCUCAAAACUACUGUGCUCGAGGAAUACAGAGGUAAGCGGAACUUAGGGUGGAGCGGUGAAAUGCGUUGAUAUCCUAAGGAACACCGGUGGCGAAAGCGGCUUACUGGGUAUUUUCUGACGCUGAUGCACGAAAGCUAGGGUAGCGAACGGG
rnacentral:rRNA from 1 species